rnacentral:rRNA from 1 species
UACGUAGGGUGCGAGCGUUAAUCGGAAUUAUUGGGCGUAAAGAGCGUGUAGGCGGUCCGGUAAGUCAGCUGUGAAAGUCAAGGGCUCAACCCUUGAAAGCCGGUUGAUACUGUCGGGCUAGAGUCCGGAAGAGGCGAGUGGAAUUCCCGGUGUAGCGGUGAAAUGCGCAGAUAUCGGGAGGAACACCAAUGGCGAAGGCAGCUCGCUGGGACGGUACUGACGCUGAGACGCGAAAGCGUGGGGAGCAAACAGG